AUUGAACGCUGGCGGCAGGCCUAACACAUGCAAGUCGAGCGGAUGAAGGGAGCUUGCUCCUGGAUUCAGCGGCGGACGGGUGAGUAAUGCCUAGGAAUCUGCCUGGUAGUGGGGGAUAACGUCCGGAAACGGGCGCUAAUACCGCAUACGUCCUGAGGGAGAAAGUGGGGGAUCUUCGGACCUCACGCUUUCAGAUGAGCCUAGGUCGGAUUAGCUAGUUGGUGGGGUAAAGGCCUACCAAGGCGACGAUCCGUAACUGGUCUGAGAGGAUGAUCAGUCAAAUGGGGACUGAGAGACGGAGCAGAGGCGUAGGGGAGGAAGCAGUGGGGAUUAGGACACAAUGGGCGGGAGGGUGAUGAAGCAAUGCAGCGUGCGGGAUGACGGCCUUCGGGUUGUAAACCGAUUUCGCCUGUGACGAAGCGUGAGUGACGGUAAUGGGUAAAGAAGCACCGGCUAACUACGUG
rnacentral:rRNA from 1 species